AGACGAACCGUACGAACGUUAUUCGGAAUUACUGGGCUUAAAGGGUGCGUAGGCUGCACGGAAAGUUGGGUGUGAAAGCCCUCAGCUCAACUGAGGAAUUGCAUCCAAAACUGCCGUGCUUGAGGGAGACAGAGGUGAGCGGAACUCAAGGUGGAGCGGUGAAAUGCGUUGAUAUCUUGAGGAACACCGGUGGCGAAAGCGGCUCACUGGGUCUCUUCUGACGCUGAGGCACGAAAGCUAGGGUAGCGAACGGGAUUAGAUACCCCAGUAGUCC
rnacentral:rRNA from 1 species